GACGAACGCUGGCGGCGUGCUUAACACAUGCAAGUCGAACGGAAAGGCCCUGCUUUUGUGGGGUGCUCGAGUGGCGAACGGGUGAGUAACACGUGAGUAACCUGCCCUUGACUUUGGGAUAACUUCAGGAAACUGGGGCUAAUACCGGAUAGGAGCUCCUGCUGCAUGGUGGGGGUUGGAAAGUUUCGGCGGUUGGGGAUGGGCUCGCGGCUUAUCAGCUUGUUGGUGGGGUAGUGGCUUGCCAAGGCUUUGACGGGUAGCCGGCCUGAGAGGGUGACCGGCCACAUUGGGACUGAGAUACCGCCCAGACUCCUACGGGAGGCAGCAGUGGGGAAUAUUGCACAAUGGGCGGAAGCCUGAUGCAGCAACGCCGCGUGCGGGAUGACGGCCUUCGGGUUGUAAACCGCUUUCGCCUGUGACGAAGCGUGAGUGACGGUAAUGGGUAAAGAAGCACCGGCUAACUACGUG
rnacentral:rRNA from 1 species